CAGUAGCCGCGGGAAUACAGAGGGUGCGAGCGUUAAUCGGAUUUACUGGGCGUAAAGCGUGCGCAGGCGGUUAUAUAAGACAGAUGUGAAAUCCCCGGGCUCAACCUGGGAACUGCAUUUGUGACUGUAUAGCUAGAGUACGGCAGAGGGGGAUGGAAUUCCGCGUGUAGCAGUGAAAUGCGUAGAUAUGCGGAGGAACACCGAUGGCGAAGGCAAUCCCCUGGGCCUGUACUGACGCUCAUGCACGAAAGCGUGGGGAGCAAACAGGAUUAGAUACCCCAGUAGUCCCUGUCUCUUAUAC
rnacentral:rRNA from 1 species